AGGUGUUUGGAAUCCUGAAGAUAACCAAUGUGAUUCCAUUAACUUAAAAAGAGGUGGAAACAAAGUAAAAGCUUGGAAAACGAAGUUGGAAAACCAAGGUGCAGUAUUAAAUGUGAUAACAAAAAUGCUAGCAGAAAAUGAGCAGCUUAGAGUGAGACUUUUACAAUGCAGCCAGAAAUGCCCUACUGACUCUCAGCAGAAUGAAUCUUUAUUCGGAUGGAUUUAGAGAAGGACACAAGAAAAGACAGCGAUG